GGUUGUAGCUCAGUGUUAGAGUGCUUGCCUCGCAUGCAUAAGAUACUGGGUUCGGUUCUUAGCACCA
rnacentral:tRNA from 1 species